UACGAAGGGGGCUAGCGUUGUCCGGAAUCAUUGGGCGUAAAGCGCGUGUAGGCGGUCCGGUAAGUCCGCUGUGAAAGUCGGGGGCUCAACCCUCGGAUGCCGGUGGAUACUGUCGGGCUUGAGUACGGAAGAGGCGAGUGGAAUUCCUGGUGUAGCGGUGAAAUGCGCAGAUAUCAGGAGGAACACCAAUUGCGAAGGCAGCUCGCUGGGACGUUACUGACGCUGAGACGCGAAAGCGUGGGGAGCAAACAGG
rnacentral:rRNA from 1 species